UUUGAAUACUCUCUUUUCUCGAGAAACCAGUCUAAAUACUCUUUUGUAUGGCAUGAGCCAAAUUUAGACAACACACUUUCUAAUAUCCCAUUUAUUUAGGAAUAAAUAAAUAAAACAUGGCAGUUAAUAACCAGACAAUGUGGAGUGCCUGAUAACAUUAGUCUCAUGCAUUGCGUCUUGCGCUGACGUGUGCUCGACAAGCACGUCCACAUAAGAGGUAGCGGCAAGGGCGUCCACCCCAGAGAUAGCGGCGCCAAGAGCCAUCUCUGAAGCUACUCUUCUACUGGAAAUCCAACACACUACCCUGAAUAUGCGGCAUGUUAGCAUGAUCACUUUCUAUUCCAGUGGAUACAGGUCUGAUUGGAACAAAAACUCCCAAGAGUGACCCAAAUUUAGAUGAAGGGGAGCCUUGGCGCAGUGGUAAAGCUGCUGCCUUGUGACCAUGAGGUCAUGGGUUCAAGUCCUGGAAACAGCCUCUUACAGAAAUGUAGGGAAAGGCUGCGUACUAUAGACCCAAAGUGGUCGGACCCUUCCCUGGACCCUGCGCAAGCGGGAGCUACAUGCACCAGGUUGCCCUUUUAAGAAAAAGACCAAAUUUUUUUAGACCAUGGAAUUCAAUGAUGUUACUUGGGAGAAGGGAAGGGCGUCCAAGUGAAAGGUCUCCUGCUACCCCUGCAGAAAUUGCCCGUCCUUCUAUGUUUCUCCAUCCCAUGCCUGUAAGACAAAUGACAACAUCCCCUCUCAGAAGCAAUUCAUUGAACAUUUGCGGGGCAUCAAACAAAUAAAACCCGGAGGACAUCCACUUUCAGAUCGACAAGGGCGAAAUCGAGCCUGGGAACAGUGCGGCACUGCCUUUCACACCAUCCGUGCCUGUCAAUUUUUCCAAUAGAUGGUAAAAAAUUAUGGAAAUAAAUUAAGAUGCAAAACAUUGAAAUUACGGUAUAAUUGCCUUCCUAAAUGAGUAUAUGACAUGAAUGGAUUGGCAAGUAGACAGAAGAUUGACGAUAAGGUGUGAAAUACAGGUUGGCAUUCUUCUUUCUGUGAGCUCAUUUGCACAAGCUAUUUAAGUUUCUCUUUUUGCUUCUCUGACCCAGGUUAACAACAGUUCAUUUACAGAGCUAAGUAAAUAUUGAGAUGAAAAAGAUGUUAUUUGAAAGGACAACACCAUACUAAGAAAACUAUCAUGAUCAUGCAGCAACCUAAGACGC
rnacentral:lncRNA from 1 species